rnacentral:rRNA from 1 species
UACAGAGGUCUCAAGCGUUGUUCGGAUUCAUUGGGCGUAAAGGGUGCGUAGGCGGCGCGGUAAGUCGGGUGUGAAAUCUCGGAGCCCAACUCCGAAACUGCAUUCGAUACUGCCGUGCUUGAGGACUGGAGAGGAGACUGGAAUUUACGGUGUAGCGGUGAAAUGCGUAGAUAUCGUAAGGAAGACCAGUGGCGAAGGCGGGUCUCUGGACAGUUCCUGACGCUGAGGCACGAAGGUCAGGGGAGCAAACGGG